rnacentral:rRNA from 1 species
AACGAACGCUGGCGGCAUGCCUAACACAUGCAAGUCGAACGAGACCUUCGGGUCUAGUGGCGCACGGGUGCGUAACGCGUGGGAACCUGCCCUUAGGUUCGGAAUAACUCCCCGAAAGGGGUGCUAAUACCGGAUAAUGUCUUCGGACCAAAGAUUUAUCGCCUUUGGAUGGGCCCGCGUUGGAUUAGCUAGUUGGUAGGGUAAAAGCCUACCAAGGCGACGAUCCAUAGCUGGUCUGAGAGGAUGAUCAGCCACACUGGGACUGAGACACGGCCCAGACUCCUACGGGAGGCAGCAGUGGGGAAUAUUGGACAAUGGGCGAAAGCCUGAUGCAGCAAUGCCGCGUGAGUGAUGAAGGCCUUAGGGUUGUAAAGCUCUUUUACCCGGGAUGAUAAUGACGGUACCGGGAGAAUAAGCACCGGCUAACUCCGUG